GCGACGCUGACAGGUUGUGUGUGCUGUGCGCGCAUCUUAAAUCGUUCGCCUCCUCCCAAAUUGCUUUUGACGUGUUUUUUUCUGUUUCAUUUUUUUUGUUGUUGUUGUUAUUAUUAUUGUACUGUGUGUGUGAUCGCAGCCCGGGAACUGUGCGAAAUUGUUAUCAAUGAGCUGCAGCCACCGAUGUUAAUGAUCAUCUGGCGAAUGAGGAUUGCGCCUACCUGUUAAUGUGCGCGUUAAUUGGCAGCAAAUGCAGUUCGCCAAAUAAAUAAGAAAACAAAACAAAAUAACCGAAAUCAACGCAGAUCGGAAGAAGCAGAAGCAGAAGCAGAAGCAGAAGUGCGUGCGAAGUGGUUGAGCCGUUUGCAUUCAAUUCUUUCGGUUUUGCCUUUCGCCUGAGGGGGGGACACAAAUUUAACGCUGCUUCCUCUUUGCCGCUUCGAAUGCCAAAAUUUAUUUGAGAUCGAGCGAGAUAGAGACAUAUAUUUAUAGAGAUUGAGUAGAAUUUCGGAAAUGUGCCGUUGUGCCGCUUGUGGUCCAACGGAUGUUGCUAGUGCAAAAGAGAGCAGAGCGGAAAGUCUCUCUUCAGCAUUGAGAGCAAUGACAAGUGAGUGAAUCGAGUGAAGGAAGGAAACGGCUCGCGUCGUCUUGAUUUUGGAAUCCUGCACGGAUUGAUACAGCCAAAGAUGCGCUCUUAGCAGGUGCGAGCAGGCGAGCGCUGAACUGUGCGAAAGAGACAGCAAAUCGUGCACAGAGCGAACUUUCGCGGAGGACAACGGGCCGCAAACCAAAAGGCAAACGCAAAGCACAGAGCACAGAGCAAAGCCAAGCAGAAAUCAGGUAAAUUCGCA